rnacentral:rRNA from 1 species
AAGUCGAGGGGAAACGACAUCGAAAGCUUGCUUUUGAUGGACGUCGACCGGCGCACGGGUGAGUAACGCGUAUCCAACCUGCCCACCACUUGGGAAUAACCUUGCGAAAGUAAGACUAAUACCCCAUGGUCUCCACGGAUGGCAUCUGAAAUGGAGUAAAGGUUUCGGCCGGUUGCGGAUGGGGAUGCGUCCGAUUAGCUUGACGGCGGGGUAACAGCUCACCAAGGCAUCGAUGGGUAGGGGUUCUGAGAGGAAGGUCCCCACAUUGGAACUGAGACACGGUCCAAACUCC